CAGGCUGGAGAGAAUCAUGGUCCCAGGGAGUCCUCACGCACCUUCCAGCAUGUCAGCAGUCUUGACCACUACACAUCUUUUGCGAUCCCAGGCUGUCCACACUGCUCUCAGGAAAGAAUGAUAAAGCAGAUUGAUUCGUGCAGUAAUAGACAGAGCUCGGGAACGGUGACAAACACAAGAGAAACCAGUCUUUGACUUGGAGUGUUUUCCCACUAGCCAGAAGUCCGGGCAAACGUGACUCCUGCUCCUCUGGCCAGGCAUCUCCGGUACUGGCCACUCACGCCUGCCACCUCCCUGCAUCCCCUCCCUUCUUCCCAGAAACCCUCCAUCGACAUGGAUCGUGAACUGGCUCAGCAAGGUGCAAACAUCAUCUUGAACACGAGUGUAAUGCUUCAGGACCUUUCCCCUGAGCCAUCCUGCCUUGUACUGCCAGCAAACUUGAACUGCGGGGGGACAGCAGUGACUUCUCCAGGCUCUAGCAUGGCUUGACAGAGUAAGAACAGGCCCAGGACAAGUGUAUUCUCCCACUGCCGAGGUGUUACCAUGGGGAUCUUGUCUUCUGUCGGUCAGAGUCUUCCCUUUUCUCCACAAAACCUGGAUUAAUCUCUGUGAAGCAGCUGCAGAACAAAAGCUUAGACACCCAUGAAAUCUUCCGUCUGUGCCAGCCGCACCAGUAGCACCGGGGCACAGAUCUUCCCUUUACGGGCUCGAGGGAGAGAGGUUCUUCACCAUCAUGUCAUGCCUUUUGGCUCGUCUGACUUUUCUGAAACCACUGGAACGGAGAUGCCACUGCGCUGCUGAAGAAGACCAUCCACUGGUCACUUCAGCGUUCGGUGACCCAGGGCAAAGACCAGACCUGCUCCUGGGGAUGAAUUCAGGGCAGGACCGAGGACUUCCCCGCUUCCCGGGUCUGGUCUUACACCUUGGCUCUGGGCUGAGGUGGACAGUGUUUCUCUGGCUGGCUCUGGGCUCUUGAGUACUUUGGGGCCAAAGUGUGGUCUCUAAUGAUAAAUUAAAUGAAACCUUUGCUGUUUCUGUGACCUCCACAAAUAGGAGGAAAGUGAAAACAGAGGCGAGAGUCAAUCAGCCAGUGGUUACAUUGAAGAAAAUGGUUCUCUGUGGAAAGCAUGAAAGAGAAAACAGACUGGGUGCUGGGACUGAAGAAAGGAAAACAAGACUAGUGUGGUUUUGAGGCCUUUUACUUUAUUUUGAUCCUUUCAUAAAGUAUUUUAAAUUUAUAAAUAAUGGAAUAAAAAAGACCCCAACAAAACUCAGCUAAAUGAUCUUGAGCCCUCAAGCCUCAAUCAAAAAAUAAACACUAUAAUUCUUUUAAAAGGAAUUAGUAAUGCACAGUUAUAGUAUUCCAUGUUUAAAAAUAAAGCUGUUGAAUAAAUGAACAAUACCUUGGCUGAAAAGUAUUUCAGCUGAAGAGUGAAAUCCCUGCAGAGAGUGAUCUGUGAGAUUCUGCAGGAAAUCUGCAUUACAAUACACCAUUUCCAUUUCCAGGGAGGGACUCACAGAAGGACACAUGGAGGAGAAAAAAGAAAUGAAAAAGCCCCAGUCCUUUAUGCCUAGGUUGUAGGGGGCCUUGGCCCAUCAUUCUCAUGCUAAACAGUUACUUUUUCUACAGGUACCCAACUGAAAUGGGAAUAUUUUUCGAAGGAACAGUGAAUGUGAAAAAGGCUAACAGAAUUGGUUCUUUGGUUAAAGAAAACUGUCUCCAUAGCUUGCCUAGCUACAGCAGACAUGGCUUUACCUCUCUGCCUUGCUGCAAAUGAAGUAAGGAGCGUGUCCAAAUGUGGUAAGCACUGGGCUACUGUGCUGCUCUUCGUCUUACUCCUCCAUUCCAGCUGCUCCACCUCUUGUUACUAAUUAAAUAUCUUCGCAGUGGAGGAAAAGUUUCUAGCUAGAUCAUUAGCCCACUGGUCAACCAGCUCAUGUGGGAUGUGGGAGGCUAGGGUCCUCAGGCUGGUCCAGUGACAAUCUGGUGUUGCUCUUCUCCAGUGCAGGGGACUACAGUUGGCCUCCCCUAGGCUUGAGCCUUCUGGCUGUAAUUUAGGAGCUGGGGCAAUGGCCAUCCAGGGACUUGGAUACACAGAGUAUUAUGUCCUGGCUGACUGCCCCUAUCUGAAGGCCAGUAUUCAAUGGGCCAGCCUCGCUUGUGUGUGGAAAAACUUACACAGGGCUGGUUUCCUUUUGCUGCAGAGUGGGAAAAUUUGUGAAAUCUCAGUUAAAUUUGUGGGAUAGGAAAAAGGGAAAGCCAGCAAGUGGAAGAAAAAGGAAUAAAAUUCCUGGCUUCUAGUCCCUAGGCUAUUAAGCAAGCCAUAGCAGAGUGUGACUAGGUCACUGGCGUUAGCAUGUUCAUGUGGUUACACAGGUGAACAUAACGCUAAACAUAUAGGGCUGUCUGCACCAUGCACAGCAUGUGUAGAAAAUGUUUUGGCAGAUGGAAGGAGUGGGCCCAUCAGCUGCCUAAAUCUAUUUGUUGCAUUUUCUACCAUAACUAAUACAAUGGGCUGCUACCCUCUUGCAGGAGAUGAAGACGGUCCAAGUAGAUGCUAUGUUUCUGCUUCCUUAGUAUAUCAUUACACAGAGAGGUUUCUGAUUGGGAAUAUAUUUAAAGGAAGAAAACCACAAAGCAAUCAGGAUCUGGUUAUUUCUGCUAAUCAGAGGUUUGGUUUGAUCCCAAAUAGACACAAAAUUUACCCAGAGCCUCCACUCCCGGAAAGCACUGAAGAUCAGUCACAAGCAUUUCCUAUGUUUUCCCUUAGAAUCUUUUGCUUAUAAUUUAUUGUGGCCUGCAUAAUACCAAAAUAUGAUAAAGGAAUAUAAUAAUUGGAAAUUUCUGCUUUCACACAAAUAUCUGCCUUCAUACAUGGAUUUAUUCACAUGUACAUGUGUAUCCUGUUGCAUGUUCUUAUGUAGGUGCAUAUAUCUAUGAUUUUGUGCAUUUAUGUUUGUGCGAGUGUGUGUAUGAAGGCAAACAUUUCAAAUAUGUGUGUAUGUGAGGAGGCAGAUUUAAAAGCAUACCUUACAUGGUAUAAAAUACAUUGCUACAUAAAUCACAGAAAGAAUUCCAUCUCUAAAUCAGAGUACACUCCAGAAAGAGCAAUUAUAGCCUCUAAAAUGUUUCUGUUAAAUUCAUGAGACACCAAACAAUUUUAUUCAUGUUAUCAUCUACAGUUGCCUGAAAGUGUAAAAAAAAAUCUUAGCCACUAGCAGAGAAAUGUGCAAAAUACUAUCAAAGGAGUGGCAAAGGUCACUUCUACUGCCUGCCUUUUUAUGAGUUUCAUUUUUGUCUUUUUUUUUUUUCUCAUUGCAGUUUGUUUGUGUACAUUGCUAAACCUUAAUGGAAGAAAAUAUGAAGGGGCAAAAUAAAUAUAAAGAAACAGACUGCUGUUCAACAGUGCUGAGCUGGUAUU